GCCCGGCUAGCUCAGUUGGUAGAGCAUUCGACUCUUACAUAAUGGGUUGCGCGCGAUUUUUCACGCUAUCGAAUUGUCGUGGGUUCGAGCCCCACGUUGGGCG
rnacentral:tRNA from 1 species